rnacentral:rRNA from 1 species
GACGAACGCUGGCGGCGUGCCUAAUACAUGCAAGUUGAGCGAUGAAGAUUGGUGCUUGCACCAAUUUGAAGAGCAGCGAACGGGUGAGUAACGCGUGGGGAAUCUGCCUUUGAGCGGGGGACAACAUUUGGAAACGAAUGCUAAUACCGCAUAACAACUUUAAACAUAAGUUUUAAGUUUGAAAGAUGCAAUUGCAUCACUCAAAGAUGAUCCCGCGUUGUAUUAGCUAGUUGGUGAGGUAAAGGCUCACCAAGGCGAUGAUACAUAGCCGACCUGAGAGGGUGAUCGGCCACAUUGGGACUGAGACACGGCCCAAACUCCUACGGGAGGCAGCAGGAGGGAAUCUUCGGCAAUGGACGAAAGUCUGACCGAGCAACGCCGCGGGAGUGAAGAAGGUUUUCGGAUCGUAAAACUCGGUUGGUAGAGAAGAACGUUGGUGAGAGUGGAAAGCUCAUCAAGUGACGGUAACUACCCAGAAAGGGACGGCUAACUACGUG